rnacentral:rRNA from 1 species
AUGCAAGUCGAACGGGUACAGGAANCAGCUUGCUGCUUCGCUGACGAGUGGCGGACGGGUGAGUAAUGUCUGGGAAACUGCCUGAUGGAGGGGGAUAACUACUGGAAACGGUAGCUAAUACCGCAUAACGUCGCAAGAGCCAAAGAGGGGGACCUUAGGGCCUCUUGCCAUCGGAUGUGCCCAGAUGGGAUUAGCUAGUAGGUGGGGUAGCGGCUCACCUAGGCGACGAUCCCUAGCUGGUCUGAGAGGAUGACCAUGCGCAACACUGGAACUGAGACACGGUCCAGACUCCUACGGGAGGCAGCAGUGGGGAAUAUUGCACAAUGGGCGCAAGCCUGAUGCAGCCAUGCUGCGUGUAUGAAGAAGGCCUUCGGGUUGUAAGAAAGCACUUUCAGCGGGGAGGAAGGGAGUAAAGUUAAUACCUUUGCUCAUUGACGUUACCCGCAGAAGAAGCACCGGCUAACUCCGUGCCAGCAGCCGCGGUAAUACGGAGAGUGCAAGCGUUAAUCGGAAUUACUGGGCGUAAAGCGCACGCAGGCGGUUUGUUAAGUCAGAUGUGAAAUCCCCGGGCUCAACCUGGGAACUGCAUCUGAUACUGGCAAGCUUGAGUCUCGUAGAGGGGGGUAGAAUUCCAGGUGUAGCGGUGAAAUGCGUAGAGAUCUGGAGGAAUACCGGUGGCGAAGAAGGCGGCCCCCUGGACGAAGACUGACGCUCANGUGCGAAAGCGUGGGGAGCAA